rnacentral:rRNA from 1 species
GACGAACGCUGGCGGCGCGCUUAACACAUGCAAGUCGAACGGAAAGGCCUGCUUUCCCUUGUGGAUUGCGGGUACUCGAGUGGCGAACGGGUGAGUAACACGUGAGUGAUCUGCCCCCAACUUGGGUAUAAGCCUGGGAAACUGGGUCUAAUUCCCGAUAGGACUGCAGGGUGGUGCCUGUUGUGGAAAACGAUUUUCUAGUGGUUGGGGAUGAGCUCGCGGCCUAUCAGCUUGUUGGUGGGGUAAUGGCCUACCAAGGCGGCGACGGGUAGCCGGCCUGGGAGGGUGGACGGCCACAGUGGGACUGAGAUACGGCCCAGACUCCUACGGGAGGCAGCAGUGGGGAAGAUUGCACAAUGGGCGGAAGCCUGAUGCAGCGACGCCGCGUGGGGGAUGACGGCCUUCGGGUUGUAAACUCCUUUCGACCGCGAGGAAGCCACCUGGUUGGAAGGGUGGUGACGGUAGUGGUAGAAGAAGCACCGGCUAACUACGUG